rnacentral:misc_RNA from 1 species
AAGUCGUAACAAGGUUUCCGUAGGUGAACCUGCGGAAGGAUCAUUACAAAUCUCUGUCUUGCUUGGGAGGCGUCCGUCUUCGGGUCGGGCGCUGACUAGCAGACACAUAUGCACAGGGCCGCAAGGCUCUGAUGUUUACGCUUGUUUGUUUGACAGAUUUAUUAUGUGACUAAACUUGACAACUUUUAACAAUGGAUCUCUUGGCUCUU